rnacentral:rRNA from 1 species
GACGAACGCUGGCGGCGUGCUUAACACAUGCAAGUCGAACGGAAAGGCCCUGCUUUUGUGGGGUGCUCGAGUGGCGAACGGGUGAGUAACACGUGAGUAACCUGCCCUUGACUUUGGGAUAACUUCAGGAAACUGGGGCUAAUACCGGAUAGGAGCUCCUGCUGCAUGGUGGGGGUUGGAAAGUUUCGGCGGUUGGGGAUAGACUCGCGGCUUAUCAGCUUGUUGGUGGGGUAGUGGCUUACCAAGGCUUUGACGGGUAGCCGGCCUGAGAGGGUGACCGGGCACAUUGGGACUGAGGUACGGCCCAGAAUGCUACGGGAGGCAACAGUGGGGAAUAUUGCACAGUGGGCGGAAGCCUGAUGCAGCAACGCCGCGUGCGGGAUGACGGCCUUCGGGUUGUAAACAGCUUUCGCCGGUGACGAAGAGGGAGUGACGGUAAUGGGUAAAGAAGCACCGGCUAACUACGUG